rnacentral:lncRNA from 1 species
GGCGCUAAUGACUAGUAAUGAUGGUGGUAAUAAUUGUGAUGGUGGAGGUUAUUAGUGUUGUAGUGACGGAUGUGAUGGUGGAGGUAAUUAGUGUUGUAGUGACCGACGUGAUGGUAGAGGUAAUUAUUGUUGUAGUGACUGACGUGAUGGUGGUUGUUGAUAAUGGUGGUGGUGGUUGUGAUGGUGAAGUUGAUUGAUGUUAGUAGUUAGUAGUGUUGAUGGUGGUGGCGGAAGAAUGUUUGAUGGUUGAUGAUGUGUUGGUGGAAGGUGACGAUGGUGGAGGUGGUUGGUAAUAAGGAUUAAUCACCAUGGUGGUAGUGGUGGUGGAGGUGGCCGUGAUGGUGGUGGCAAUGAGUGUAAUUAUAAUGAUGGAGGUUGUAGGUGUGGUAAUGACUUAUAGUAGUAGUC